ensembl:snRNA Gm23460 predicted gene, 23460
GUGCUGGCUUCGGCAGCACAUAUAUACUAAAAUUGGAACUAUACAGAGAAGGUUAGCAUGGCCCCUGUGCAAGGAUGGCAUGCAAAUUUGUGAACUGUUCCAUAAUUUU